GAUGAACGCUAGCUACAGGCUUAACACAUGCAAGUCGAGGGGCAGCACUAGGUAGCAAUGCUGAGGUGGCGACCGGCGCACGGGUGCGUAACGCGUAUCCAACCUUCCCGUUACUCUUGGAUAGCCUUCCGAAAGGGAGAUUAAUACAAGAUGGUGUUGAAGUUCCGCAUGUUAUUUCAACUAAAGAUUUAUCGGUAACGGAUGGGGAUGCGUGACAUUAGAUAGUAGGCGGGGUAACGGCCCACCUAGUCUACGAUGUCUAGGGGUUCUGAGAGGAAGGUCCCCCACACUGGAACUGAGACACGGUCCAGACUCCUACGGGAGGCAGCAGUGAGGAAUAUUGGUCAAUGGCCGGAAGGCUGAACCAGCCAAGUAGCGUGAAGGAUGAAGGUUCUAUGGAUUGUAAACUUCUUUUAUACGGGAAUAAAACCUCCCACGUGUGGGAGCUUGUAUGUACCAUAUGAAUAAGCAUCGGCUAACUCCGUGCCAGCCGCCGCUGUAAUAC
rnacentral:rRNA from 1 species